rnacentral:rRNA from 1 species
AUUGAACGCUGGCGGAAUGCUUUACACAUGCAAGUCGAACGGGGAGUAAGAGCUUGCUCUUAAUCCUAGUGGUGAACGGGUGAGUAAUAUAUCGGAACGUAUCCAAUAAUGGGGGAUAACUAGUCGAGAGAUUGGCUAAUACCGCAUACGUCUACCGGAAGAAAGCUGGGGAUGGUAAGACCUGGCGUUAAUGGAGCGGCCGAUAUCUGAUUAGCUAGUUGGUGGGGUAAAGGCUCACAAAGGCGACGAUCAGUAGCUGGUCUGAGAGGACGACCAGCCACACUGGAACUGAGACACGGUCCAGACUCCUACGGGAGGCAGCAGUGGGGAAUUUUGGACAAUGGGCGAAAGCCUGAUCCAGCCAUUCCGCGUGAGUGAAGAAGGCCUUCGGGUUGUAAAGCUCUUUCGCAAGAGAAGAAAACUUACCUAAUAACACUAGGUGAGGUUGACGGUACCUUGAUAAGAAGCACCGGCUAACUACGUGCCAGCCGCCGCCGUAA